GAUGAACGCUGGCGGCGUGCCUAAUACAUGCAAGUCGAGCGAACAGACGAGGAGCUUGCUCCUCUGACGUUAGCGGCGGACGGGUGAGUAACACGUGGAUAACCUACCUAUAAGACUGGGAUAACUUCGGGAAACCGGAGCUAAUACCGGAUAAUAUAUUGAACCGCAUGGUUCAAUAGUGAAAGACGGUUUUGCUGUCACUUAUAGAUGGAUCCGCGCCGCAUUAGCUAGUUGGUAAGGUAACGGCUUACCAAGGCAACGAUGCGUAGCCGACCUGAGAGGGGGAUCGGCCACACUGGAGCUGAGACACGGUCCAGACUCCUACGGGAGGCAGCAGUAGGGAAUCUUCCGCAAUGGGCGAAAGCCUGACGGAGCAACGCCGCGUGAGUGAUGAAGGUCUUCGGAUCGGAAAACUCUGUUAUUAGGGAAGAACAAAUGUGUAAGUAACUAUGCACGUCUUGACGGUACCUAAUCAGAAAGCCACGGCUAACUACGUG
rnacentral:rRNA from 1 species